rnacentral:lncRNA from 1 species
UAACUCCAGAGUUUCUCAUUCAGUAGGUCUGGGAUGGAGCCCAACAGCUGGCAUAUCUAACAAAUUCCCAGGAAUGACUGGCACCCACUAGGAUGACCAGCAACUAACACUUCCUCUUAGUCUUUACCCAUGUGUACAUAACGCUCUCUGGGUGAAGGCUGGGCUAUUAUCUUCUUCUAAGACCCAGUUAUGACAGAAGCAGUGGAUAACAAGUCCAGAUUUAGGUAACACAAAGCUCAAAGCAUGGUGCUGCUGCUGCCCCUCCCCAACCCAAGGGACCAUUUGCUGCCACAUUAUAAAAUAACUCCCGAUGAAGAGGCUUGCAUGACGAUGGCCUGAGACUCAGCUCACGUACAUGGACUUGGAAGUGAAUCCUGGCUUGGCACUGCACCACCACACCAACUUAAGUCUUCACCUGGGACCAUAACCCUACAGACAGCUUGACUGCAACCUCAUGAGACAUCUUGGGAUUUCCGGGAGCUGGAGAGAUGGUUCCAUGGUAAAGAGCGCAGGCUGCUCUCACAGAAGACGUAAGUUGGAUUCCCACCAUCGACAUGGCAGCUCAUCACCAUCUGUAACUCCAGCU